CGGAGGGAAACCGAGUCUUAAUUGGGCGUUAAGUUGCAGGGUAUAGACCCGAAACCCGGUGAUCUAGCCAUGGGCAGGUUGAAGGUUGGGUAACACUAACUGGAGGACCGAACCGACUAAUGUUGAAAAAUUAGCGGAUGACCUGUGGCUGGGGGUGAAAGGCCAAUCAAACCGGGAGAUAGCUGGUUCUCCCCGAAAGCUAUUUAGGUAGCGCCUCGUGAAUUCAUCUCCGGGGGUAGAGCACUGUUUCGGCUAGGGGGCCAUCCCGGCUUACCAACCCGAUGCAAACUGCGAAUACCGGAGAAUGUUAUCACGGGAGACACACGGCGGGUGCUAACGUCCGUCGUGAAGAGGGAAACAACCCAGACCGCCAGCUAAGGUCCCAAAGUCAUGGUUAAGUGGGAAACGAUGUGGGAAGGCCCAGACAGCCAGGAUGUUGGCUUAGAAGCAGCCAUCAUUUAAAGAAAGCGUAAUAGCUCACUGGUCGAGUCGGCCUGCGCGGAAGAUGUAACGGGGCUAAACCAUGCACCGAAGCUGCGGCAGCGAACGUAUCACCCAAGACAACUUUACGGAGUUGACGAUUGACGGAGCGAAGCGACGUCAAAGCGUUCAUUAAAGUCGAGUUGGCUUAGGGAUACGUUCGUUGGGUAGGGGAGCGUUCUGUAAGCCUGUGAAGGUGUGUCGUGAGGCAUGCUGGAGGUAUCAGAAGUGCGAAUGCUGACAUAAGUAACGAUAAAGCGGGUGAAAAGCCCGCUCGCCGGAAGACCAAGGGUUCCUGUCCAACGUUAAUCGGGGCAGGGUGAGUCGACCCCUAAGGCGAG
rnacentral:rRNA from 1 species